CCAGCCUCAUUUGGACGGCACGAAGACGCUUCUGGAAGGAUCACCUCGAUGGCCAUGCAGGGGGAGCCGCAGGUCCAGUUCAAGCUCGUGCUAGUUGGCGACAGGGGCACCAGCAAGACCACGUUCGUGAAGCGCCACUUGACGGGCGAGUUCGAGAAGAACUACCUGGCCACACUGGGCGUGGAGGAGCACCCGCUCGUGUGCCACACCAACCGAGGCCCCAUCAAGUUCAGCGUGUGGGACACAGCCGGCCAGGAGAAGCUCAGCGGGCUGCGCGACGGCUGCUACCACCAGGCACAAUGUGCUAUUGUCAUGUUGAGGUGACAUCCGGAGACAUCUCCAAGAGCGUGCCUAAGUGGCAUAGAGACCUGGUGCGAGUGCGCGAGAACAUCCCCAUCGUGUUGGGCGGCGACAAAGUGGACAUCGAGGACAGGAAAGCGAAGGCGAAGUCCGUUGUCUUUCACCGAAAGAAGAAUCUUGAGUACUAUGCUAUUUCUGCCAAAAGUAACUACAACAUUGAGAAGCCCUUCCUCUGGCUCGCCAGACAGCUUAUUGGAGACCCAACGUCGCAGAUGGUCGCCAAGCCCGCUCUCCUCCCGCCAGAGGUCAUCAUGACCCAGCCUUGGCCGCGCAGUAUGAGCAGGAUUUAGAGGUUGCUCAGACCACUGCUCUCCCGGAUGAGGAUGACGACCUGUGA